rnacentral:tRNA from 1 species
GCGGGUAUCGUAUAUCGGUAUUACCCUGGCUUCCCAAGCCAGAGAGGCGGGUUCGACUCCCGCUACCCGCUCCA